AUAAGAUAUCAAGGGCAACAGGUGAAUGCCUUGGCGCUGAGAGGCGAUGAAAGACGCGGUAAGCUGCGAUAAGCAUCGGGGAGGAGCUAAACAUCCUACGAUCCGAUGAUUUCUGAAUGGGGAAACCCGAUGGGAGUCAUGUCCCAUCAUCCUGAGCUGAAUAUAUAGGCCCAGAGAAGCCAACCCGGGGAAGUGAAACAUCUCAGUACCCGGAGGAAGAGAAAUCAAACGAGACUCCCAAAGUAGCGGCGAGCGAAAUGGGAAGAGCCCAAACCGGGUGGUUUCGACCAUUCGGGGUUGUAGGGCCGGCAUACGCGAUUCUGGAGUAGGCAGAGGAAGUGAGCUGGAAAGCUCCGCCACAGCGGGUGAUAGCCCCGUACUCGAAACCGAAAAGGACGCAGCCGGUACCUGAGUACUGCGAGGCACGUGGAACCUCGUGGGAAUCUAGGGGGACCAUCCUCUAAGGCUAAGUACUCCUCAGCGACCGAUAGUGAACUAGUACCGUGAGGGAAAGGUGAAAAGAACCCCUGUUAGGGGAGUGAAAUAGAAUCUGAAACCUGUUGCCUACAAGCUGCGAGAGCUACUUCGGUAGUGAUCGCGUGCCUUUUGUAUAAUGAGUCAGCGAGUUACUCUACCGUGCGAGGUUAAGCGAAAGCGUAGCCGUAGUGAAAGCGAGGCUUAAUAGGCCGACUAGUACGUUGGAGUAGACCCGAAACCGGGUGAUCUAUCCAUGAGCAGGUUGAAGCAAGGGUAAAGCCUUGUGGAGGACCGAACCGUCAACGGCUGAAAACGUUCCGGAUGACUUGUGGAUAGGGGUGAAAGGUCAAUCAAACCCGGUGAUAGCUGGUUCUCCCCGAAAUAUAUUGAGGUAUAGCCUCGGGAAUUGAUUAGCGGAGGUAAAGCACUGACAGAGCUAGGGGUCCUACCAGAUUACCAAACUCUAUCAAACUCAGAAUGCCGCUUAAUCGUAUCCCGGGAGUCAGACGGCGGGUGCGAAGGUUCGUCGUCAAAAGGGAAACAGCCCAGACCAACAGCUAAGGUCUCCAAAUCCAUGCUCAGUGGUGAAGGUAGUGGAACCGUUUAGACAGCCAGGACGUUGGCUUAGAAGCAGCCAUCGUUUAAAGAAAGCGUAAUAGCUCACUGGUCUAAUGGCUCUGCGCCGAAAAUGUAACGGGGCUAAGCAUGGUACCGAAGCUUUGGCAAUCUCCUUUGGAGAUUGGGUAGGGGAGCGUUCGCUGCGGGCUGAAGGUGUGUCGGAAGGCAUGCUGGACUGCAGUGAAGUGAUUAUGCUGACAUGAGUAACGAUAAAAUAUGUGAAAAACAUAUUCGCCGAAAACCCGAGGUUUCCUGGGUAAAGGUAAUCUUCCCAGGGUUAGUCGGAUCCUAAGGUGAGGGUGAAAGCCGUAACCGAUGGAAAACAGGUUAAUAUUCCUGUACUUGUUGUGUAGCGCGAUGGAGGGACGCAGGAAGAUAGGCGGGCCGGGUGUUGGAUAUCCCGGUGCAAGCGUGUAGGAAUAUCCGGUAGGCAAAUCCGCCGGACGAAUCUGAGACGCGAGUCCGUGGGCGCAAGCCCUGAAGCCGUUGAGUCUAUGCUGCCUAGAAAAGCUCCUAAGUUUAUCCACAGCAAUCCGUACCGCAAACCAACUCAGGUGGGUGGGAUGAACAAUCCAAGGCGCUCGAGAGAACUCUGGCCAAGGAACUCGGCAAAAUAACCCCGUAACUUCGGAAGAAGGGGUGCUCUCUAGGGUGACAUGUUUAACAUAUGAAGCCCCGGGGAGCCGCAGUGAAUUGGUGGUGGCGACUGUUUACUAAAAACAUAGGUCUGUGCGAAGUCCUAAAGACGACGUAUACGGACUGACGCCUGCCCGGUGCUGGAAGGUUAAAAGGAGGGGUCAGCGCAAGCAAAGCUCCGAAUUGAAGCCCCAGUAAACGGCGGCCGUAACUAUAACGGUCCUAAGGUAGCGAAAUUCCUUGUCGGGUAAGUUCCGACCUG
rnacentral:rRNA from 1 species